AGUGAACGCUGGCGGUAGGCCUAACACAUGCAAGUCGAACGGCAGCACAGUAAGAGCUUGCUCUUACGGGUGGCGAGUGGCGGACGGGUGAGGAAUAAAUCGGAAUCUACUUUUUCGUGGGGGAUAACGUAGGUAAACUUACGCUAAUACCGCAUACGACCUACGGGUGAAAGCAGGGGAUCUUCGUACCUUGCGCGAUUGAAUGAGCCGAUGUCGGAUUAGCUAGUUGGCUGGGUAAAGGCCAACCAAGGCGACGAUCCGUAGCUGGUCUGAGAGGAUGAUCAGCCACACUGGAACUGGGACACGGUCCAGACUCCUACGGGAGGCAGCAGUGGGGAAUAUUGGACAAUGGGCGCAAGCCUGAUCCAGCCAUACCGCGUGGGUGAAGAAGGCCUUCGGGUUGUAAAGCCCUUUUGUUGGGAAAGAAAAGCAGCAGGUUAAUAACCCGCUGUUCUGACGGUACCCAAAGAAUAAGCACCGGCUAACUUCGUG
rnacentral:rRNA from 1 species